UUCUGAUAAUUCAGAGGUCAAAAGAAGAUCCUAACAUUUAAAUGAAUUGUAAACAUGGGAUAUCUUGGUAUUCAUCUCUCUUUGAAAAUGUACUGUGAAUGGUGGAGGAACAAGCAAAUGGCCUUAUGCUAAUUCUUAUAGCUAAGUACUGGUUAUGGACCUCCUUCAAAGUCAUCCUAAUUACCUUUUGUUCCCUGAGGAACUCCAACUUGUCAAAUGACAUGAAAUUUGUAUAAUGAAUAAAUGA